UUUUUCUUUUCUUUUUUCUUUUUUUUUUUCUUCUUCUUUUUUA
rnacentral:sRNA from 1 species